GCCGGGCAUGGUGGCUCAUGCCUGUAAUCCCAGAACUUUGGGAGGCCGAGGCGGGUGGAUCACCUGAGGUCAGGAGUUCAAGACCAGCCUGGCCAACAUGGUGAAACCCUGUCUCUA
rnacentral:SRP_RNA from 1 species